rnacentral:lncRNA from 1 species
CUGAUGUUGGUGCCAGGCUGUAUUGAUCAGUCCUAACAGUUAUCCCAGCCCUUUAAACUCAGCCCAGGACUGCUGCAGCACAGAAUUAAAUGAAAGAAAUCCCUCUGAGACAACGGAAUGGGGAGUGUGGAACAGGCAGAGGAAAGGAAGGAGUGAAAGAGUGAAUGGAAGUCUGUUUGAUAAAGAGUGUUCAGGGCUGAGGGCUAGGAUUUCAACAUGUUGAAGAUCUCAGAGCUUCAUUGAUCGAACGUCUUCCUCUCAACCACACACACUGACCAUCAAACCAUCAAAGAUCACACAGGAUCCCACACCUAUGGAUCAGGCUUCCAGGAACCCGGAGAGUUACCGGUACAUGCUCACAAAGCUCUUAAACAACACAGAGUGACGGCAUUCUCUUUUAAAGGGUGGAGAAGGAUAAAGCUCUACUGUGAGAUCUGUUCCACCACGGCAUGGUCAACGAUACCCGUAACACUUGAGUGAACUUAAUCUCAAGUGUGCGUCUUUUGUGUGCUUCUGUGCUUGACUGAUCAUCAUCUCUGAGUCACAUUAGUGCCGUCUGAUCUCCG